AUUGAACGCUGGCGGCAGGCCUAACACAUGCAAGUCGAGCGAGCGGCGGACGGGUGAGUAAUGUAUGGGGACUGCCCGAUAGAGCGGGAUAACGACGGGAAACGGUGGCUAAUACCGCAUAAUAUCGGAUAACCGAUAUGGGAUUAGCUAGUAGGGGGGGUAAAGGCUCACCUAGACGACGAUCCCUAGCUGGUCUGAGAGGAUGCUCAGCCACACUGGGACUGAGACACGGCCCAGACUCCUACGGAGGCAGCAGUGGGGAAUAUUGCACAAUGGGCGAAAGCCUGAUGCAGCCAUGCCGCGUGUAUGAAGAAGGCCUUCGGGUUGUAAAGUACUUUCAGCAGGGAGGCGUUACCCACAGAAGAAGCACCGGCUAACUCCGUGCCAGCAGCCGCGGUAAUAC
rnacentral:rRNA from 1 species